rnacentral:lncRNA from 1 species
CUAGGGGAAGCCUGGAGGCUGUAGAGGCGGGACGCGGGAGUAGUUCGGGUUUUGAGCGGGUAGUUUGAGUUUUGAGCUGCUGACCGGUCUGCGGAUCCCCUGCUGAGAUGCUGGGUUUAGCAACCCGGGAUUUGGGUAGCAAAAAAGCUUGAUGAUUACCUUUCCAUGGACUCCUUCGCUUCACAAACCCAAGUUAAAGCCAAGAUUGCCAUCAGUGGAAAAAAAGACAAUCUGAAAAUAUUUGAAUGUUUAAUGGUCAUUGGAAAUGGGCUUUGGAGCAAUUUAAAGCUUAGUUAUCUGAAAUCAGCUGG